CGUGCGAGAGAAGUAGACGCUGCCGCGUGAGUGUGCGACUGUAUUUUGAGUGGCGAAUAGUUACGAACCAAGACGAAUAUUAGAGGGUAGAGACAUAGUUUUAGCCUGACUCAUUUAAGAGAAGUGUGUUUUUGGCUAAGAGUCUGCUGUGGACAUUACUGUGUAUCUCUGAGCUAACUUCGGCCGGUAGGCUAAUUAGCAUAGUAUCUCACGCCUUGCUUGCCGUGUGUGUGUGGACUGAGAGGCCCGGACAGAACACCAGAUAGCGCCCCGUGUGACCGGUAAAACACGGGUGCACCUCUGGCUCCGAGGGAGACAAGCCGUCUUCUUCUUCAUCAUCAACAUCACUGGGACUGAGAGUGGACGGUCGCCUGCCUGGAACAGUAAGGGGACUUUUGAACUGUUCGCCAUUGGGUUAGGAUCAUCUGGGGCCUAUGACAUGGUCUGCUUUUGACAGUGGGAUGCCCUCACCAAAAACAACCUCAUUUACCCUCUCCCUGUAUAUAAUAUAUAAUAAAGUGUUUUGUUGAAUGCAA